rnacentral:rRNA from 1 species
UUAAUUGAAGAGUUUGAUCAUGGCUCAGAUUGAACGCUGGCGGCAGGCCUAACACAUGCAAGUCGAACGGUAACAGGGAGCAGCUUGCUGCUCUGCUGACGAGUGGCGGACGGGUGAGUAAUGUCUGGGAAACUGCCUGAUGGAGGGGGAUAACUACUGGAAACGGUAGCUAAUACCGCAUAACGUCUGCGGACCAAAG